rnacentral:rRNA from 1 species
AACUCACUGGCUGAAUAUAUUAGCCCUGAAAAUGGAUGGUACUUAAGUGUAUUACCUAUACCUCUCUAUAGCUGUUUACUAGAAGCAGCUACAAGUAGGCAGGCAUAGAGGUAUAUAACAAAGCCUUAGGGAUGACCCUAGGUUAAACCACCUCUAGUAUAGAUCUUGGUGAUAGUAGCAAAUACUCAAAUAAGAACUUUGAGGACUAAAGUAGGGAAAGGUUCUAUAUAAACAACAGUUGGAUAUAGGUAAGUUAAUCCUAAGCUAUAGGGAAGAUCCAUUAGAAAGUGUGUACUCAUAUACUGUAUAGCAAAAGGGAAGCUAGUUAAUAUUCUAGCACCUAGAUACAGUGUCUUCACAGCAACAUAACUGAAAGCAGAGAUAUCAGUGGGGGCCCUGGGAAGAGUUAUCUUUUCUUCUUAACAGUCUAUUAUCCUGAAAUCAGUUUAUCUGGAGCUAGGGUUUAAUAACUGGUAGAGCACAUCACCUCUGAUAUAUCUAGUGUACUCCUGAUGACCCUUGAAAAUCCACUAGAAGGAAUAAGAUUUAUACUAGGUUAUACUCAUAACUGCAGUAGGUCUCCAAGGUAAAAAGCCUCUAGUUGAUAGAACAAUAUAGAUAAGGGAAGUCAGCAAAAUAGAUCUAUAACUUCAGGAAAAGGAUUGGCUCUAAGGAUUAGGUGUGUUAGGCCUUGGAAAGAUCCUGCUGGAGUAGGGAGUCACUAGCUAGGUAACCAGUCAGUGGUACCCAGCACUGGUGUAGUAAUGUCCUUGGUAGGCUUUGGUUAUCCAGUACAUAAUUAAUAGUUAACUUAGAACUAGUAUAGAUAAGGAGAAUCUGACUAUCUAAUUAAAAUAUAGUAUUGCGAUAGCUAGAAAGUGGUGUUAACACAAUGUAAUUUCUGCCCAGUACUCUGAAUAUCAAAGUAAAGAAAUUCAACUAAGUGUGGGUAAAUGAUAGGAGUAACUAUGACUCUCUUAAGGUAGCCAAAUGCCUUGUUAUCUAAUUAGUGACAUACAUGAAUAGAUUAAUGAGAUUCUUACUGUCCCUAUCUACUAUCUAGUGAAACUAUAGCCAAGGGAAUAGGCUUAGUAGAAUCAGUGGGGAAAGAAGACCCUGUUGAGCUUGACUCUAGUUUGAUAUUAUAAAAAGAUAUAGGGGGUGUAGAAUAGGUUAGAGAGUAAUCACCAGUGAAAUACCACUACCCUUAUUAUUUUUUUACUUAUUCAAUGAAGCAGAACUAGGUUUUACCACCUAAUUUCUAGUGUUAAGGUUGUUUACUAGUUAAUCUAGAUUAAAGAUAUUGUUAGAUAGGGAGUUUAGCUGGGGCAGUAUAUCUAUUAAACCAUAAUAUAGGUGUCCUAAGGAGGACUUAUGGAGAACAGAAAUCUCCAGUAGAAUAAAAGGGUAAAAGUCCCCUUGAUUUUGAUUUUCAGUGUGAAUAUAAACCAUGAAAGUAUGGCCUAUCAAUCCUUUAGUCCCUUGAAAUUUAAGGCUAGAGAUACCAGAAAAGUUACUACAGGGAUUAACUGAGUGUACUUACUUGGUUA